CAGCAGCCACGGUAAUACGUAGGUGGCAAGCGUUGUCCGGAAUUAUUGGGCGUAAAGGGCUCGCAGGCGGUUUCUUAAGUCUGAUGUGAAAGCCCCCGGCUCAACCGGGGAGGGUCAUUGGAAACUGGGAAACUUGAGUGCAGAAGAGGAGAGUGGAAUUCCACGUGUAGCGGUGAAAUGCGUAGAGAUGUGGAGGAAUACCAGUGGCGAAGGCGACUCUCUGGUCUGUAACUGACGCUGAGGAGCGAAAGCGUGGGGAGCGAACAGGAUUAGAUACCCCUGUAGUCCCUGUCUCUUAUAA
rnacentral:rRNA from 1 species